AUUGAACGCUGGCGGCAUGCCUUACACAUGCAAGUCGAACGGCAGCACGGGAGCAAUCCUGGUGGCGAGUGGCGAACGGGUGAGUAAUAUAUCGGAACGUGCCCAGUCGUGGGGAUAACGUAGCGAAAGCUACGCUAAUACCGCAUACGAUCUAUGGAUGAAAGCGGGGGAUCGCAAGACCUCGCGCGAUUGGAGCGGCCGAUAUCAGAUUAGGUAGUUGGUGAGGUAAAGGCUCACCAAGCCGACGAUCUGUAGCUGGUCUGAGAGGACGACCAGCCACACUGGGACUGAGGCACGGCCCAGACUCCUACGGGAGGCAGCAGUGGGGAAUAUUGGACAAUGGGCGAAAGCCUGAUCCAGCAAUGCCGCGUGAGUGAUGAAGGCCUUAGGGUUGUAAAGGCUCUUUUUACCCGGGAUGAUAAUGACAGUACCGGGAGAAUAAGCCCCGGCGUAACUCCGUGCCAGCAGCCGCGGUAAA
rnacentral:rRNA from 1 species